rnacentral:lncRNA from 1 species
GUACUAGUAAAUCGAGCAUUAGUUUUUCAAUUGUAUGACUAAAAUCUUUGCAAAUAAAUAUUGCAAGUUUUCACAAUUCUCCUCUUUGAGCUUGAAUGAAAUUUGUAUAUUGUGAUAAUUUUUUGUGGUGGAUUUUGAUGAUGGGUGAGCAAUAAGUGGUGGUAUGACUUUUAAUUUCGAUAACGAUGAUGAAACUCGUGAUUUUGAUGUGGAUGGUGAAUUUAUGGUUAUGGAUGUGAUGAAUUUCAAUGAUAGUGAUAUGGUUCCGCUGGUGAAUUUAGUUAAAUUUAUGAUGUUUGUUAUCAUUUUUUUAUGAUGACAAUGGUUGUGGGAAGAUUCCGUUGGUGAAAUCUAUGGUGGUGGAGAAGUGAAUUUGAUGAUAAUAGCAUCAAUGGUAGUGAUUUAAUGGUGGUUUUGAUGGUGUAUAGGGAAGAAGAAGAAAU